GCCUGAAUGGUGGAAUCGGUAGACACGCAGGACUUAAAAUCCUGUGGCUUACGCCGUGUCGGUUCAAGUCCGACUUCAGGUA
rnacentral:tRNA from 1 species